rnacentral:rRNA from 1 species
CAUGUAGGCGGCAUGACAAGUCUGGUGUGAAAUAUCUCGGCUCAACCGAGAAAACGCACUGGAAACUGUCAAGCUUGAGUAUCGGAGGGGAAGCUAGAAUUCCUGGUGUAGGGGUGAAAUCUGUAGAUAUCAGGAAGAAUACCGGUGGCGAAGGCGAGCUUCUGGCCAGAUACUGACGCUGAGAUGCGAAAGCGUGGGGAGCGAACAGGAUAGAUACCCUGGUAGUCC